GGGGCUGUUUCUCCUGUCUCUGAGACCCAGCACAACGUGAGGCAUACAGCAGGUGUAUUAGCAGGAUCUAGAAUACGGCAAAGAGGCCUUAAACAGGGUGAUGCGGCCCAUUCUAGCCAGGUGCCUCCUCUAAACCUACAGUCAACUUGAAAAGCCCGAGGUGCUUUCCCAGAGCACUGCCUGAAGUUUGCCGUUCACAGCCAGGGAGACUUGCGAAGAGGACUGAUCCCACAGCUCCCUCUCUAAAGAGUAGGGUUUCUUGAUGAUCCCAGGAUGGGUACAUAGCCAUGGGGCUCAGGGACUGCCCCUGCCUCUGCCCUCUCCAUUCUCCAACGGGACAUACACAUGCCACUGCAACCAGAGAUCCCCAGCAAUCCCACUCCGUAAGGACACCUGAAAACCUCUCACUAGCCCUGCAAUCCCACUCCGUAAGGACACCUGAAAACCUCACCGCCAGUCCCACCCUAGGAGAUGGAUAUUCCCCCUCUAACCUCCAGGGUGGAGAAGCAGGGUUCAAACAGGGGGCCUCAGAGCGGUGCUUCCAAGAGAAAGCGCCUUGGAAGCCAGGCUAAGGAAUGGAACUUUCUGCUCUGGGCAAUGGCGAAGCGGGGGGACAUCUACUGCCCCACCUCACCCUGUGCCGGGCACAGGGACCUUUCAUGCUCACUCAACAAAUCCUAAUACCACCAGAGUACCCCAAAUUCCAGGAGCAAUUGGACUUGACGAGUCCCCACAUUCCCAGAGGCCUCUCAUCCCACCCUGAGAGAGAAGCAUCUCAGAGUAGGCAACAGUGUUCAUGCUUUUCCUUCAAGAAGCAAUGGUCCAGGGGCAUUCCCUGCAAGAUACUAUCUUCUGGCCUCAUUUCAAGAACCCCAGCUAUCCUCACUCACAAACUAGCCUGAGACCCCUGCUCCAACCCUCUCUUUAAAAUUAGUUCUAGGCACAGGAAGCUCCUGGAAAACUGAAUAAAAACAAAUGCUCAGAGGGAAAUGUGGGACUCCUGCCAGGUCGGCCAACCCCUCCUGACUGAUUUACAAGGCUGCAAAAUGGUACUUUGUUCUGCAAAUCCCCUCCCCUCCUUGCCCCGCCCUAAUACUCAGGCCUUGGCGUGCAGCAGCUUGGGGGCCACAUGCAGAACCACAUGUGCAGACGACUU
rnacentral:antisense_RNA from 1 species